rnacentral:rRNA from 1 species
AUUGAACGCUGGCGGCCGGCCUAACACAUGCAAGUCGAACGAGUGGCGGACGGGUGAGUACUGUCUGGGAAACUGCCUGAUUGAGGGGGAUAACUACUGGAAACGGUAGCUAAUACCGCAUACCAUCAGAUGUGCCCAGAUGGGAUUAGCUAGGUGGUGGGGUAACGGCUCACCAAGGCUACGAUCCCUAGCUGGUCUGAGAGGAGGACCAGCCAAACUGGAACUGAGACACGGUCCAGAGUCCUACGGGAGGGAGCAGUGGGGAAUAGUGCACAAUGGGCGCAAGCCUGAUGCAGCCAUGCCGCGUGGAGGAAGAAGGCGUUCGGGUUGUAAAGUACGGUCAGAGGGGAGGCGUUACCCGCAGAAGAAGCACCGGCUAACUCCGUGCCAGCAGCCGCGGUAAUUC